UUAAUUGAAACCAAAUCAGAGGUAAUUCACUGUUAAUGAAUAAAUUGAUACUAGUAUCCAAUUAAA
rnacentral:tRNA from 1 species